UUUGGUUAAGUUAGAAAGGGCGCACGGUGGAUGCCUUGACACUAGGAGUCGAUGAAGGACGGGACUAACGCCGAUAUGCUUCGGGGAGCUGUAAGUAAGCUUUGAUCCGAAGAUUUCCGAAUGGGGAAACCCACCAUACGUAAUGGUAUGGUAUCCUUAUCUGAAUACAUAGGGUAAGGAAGACAGACCCAGGGAACUGAAACAUCUAAGUACCUGGAGGAAGAGAAAGCAAAUGCGAUUUCCUGAGUAGCGGCGAGCGAAACGGAACAUAGCCCAAACCAAGAGGCUUGCCUCUUGGGGUUGUAGGACAUUCUAUACGGAGUUACAAAGGAACGAGGUAGACGAAGCGACCUGGAAAGGUCCGUCGUAGAGGGUAACAACCCCGUAGUCGAAACUUCGUUCUCUCUUGAAUGUAUCCUGAGUACGGCGGAACACGUGAAAUUCCGUCGGAAUCUGGGAGGACCAUCUCCCAAGGCUAAAUACUCCCUAGUGAUCGAUAGUGAACCAGUACCGUGAGGGAAAGGUGAAAAGCACCCCGGAAGGGGAGUGAAAGAGAUCCUGAAACCGUGUGCCUACAAAUAGUCAGAGCCCGUUAACGGGUGAUGGCGUGCCUUUUGUAGAAUGAACCGGCGAGUUACGAUCCCGUGCGAGGUUAAGCUGAAGAGGCGGAGCCGCAGCGAAAGCGAGUCUGAAUAGGGCGUUUAGUACGUGGUCGUAGACCCGAAACCAGGUGAUCUACCCAUGUCCAGGGUGAAGUUCAGGUAACACUGAAUGGAGGCCCGAACCCACGCACGUUGAAAAGUGCGGGGAUGAGGUGUGGGUAGCGGAGAAAUUCCAAUCGAACCUGGAGAUAGCUGGUUCUCCCCGAAAUAGCUUUAGGGCUAGCCUUAAGUGUAAGAGUCUUGGAGGUAGAGCACUGAUUGGACUAGGGGUCCUCAUCGGAUUACCGAAUUCAGUCAAACUCCGAAUGCCAAUGACUUAUCCUUAGGAGUCAGACUGCGAGUGAUAAGAUCCGUAGUCAAAAGGGAAACAGCCCAGACCGCCAGCUAAGGUCCCAAAGUGUGUAUUAAGUGGAAAAGGAUGUGGAGUUGCUUAGACAACUAGGAUGUUGGCUUAGAAGCAGCCACCAUUUAAAGAGUGCGUAAUAGCUCACUAGUCGAGUGACUCUGCGCCGAAAAUGUACCGGGGCUAAAUACACCACCGAAGCUGCGGAUUGAUACCAAUGGUAUCAGUGGUAGGGGAGCGUUCUAAGGACAGUGAAGUCAGACCGGAAGGACUGGUGGAGUGCUUAGAAGUGAGAAUGCCGGUAUGAGUAGCGAAAGACGGGUGAGAAUCCCGUCCACCGAAUGCCUAAGGUUUCCUGAGGAAGGCUCGUCCGCUCAGGGUUAGUCAGGACCUAAGCCGAGGCCGACAGGCGUAGGCGAUGGACAACAGGUUGAUAUUCCUGUACCACCUCUUUAUCGUUUGAGCAAUGGAGGGACGCAGAAGGAUAGAAGAAGCGUGCGAUUGGUUGUGCACGUCCAAGCAGUUAGGCUGAUAAGUAGGCAAAUCCGCUUAUCGUGAAGGCUGAGCUGUGAUGGGGAAGCUCCUUAUGGAGCGAAGUCUUUGAUUCCCCGCUGCCAAGAAAAGCUUCUAGCGAGAUAAAAGGUGCCUGUACCGCAAACCGACACAGGUAGGCGAGGAGAGAAUCCUAAGGUGUGCGAGAGAACUCUGGUUAAGGAACUCGGCAAAAUGACCCCGUAACUUCGGGAGAAGGGGUGCUUUCUUAACGGAAAGCCGCAGUGAAUAGGCCCAAGCGACUGUUUAGCAAAAACACAGCUCUCUGCGAAGCCGUAAGGCGAAGUAUAGGGGGUGACACCUGCCCGGUGCUGGAAGGUUAAGGAGAGGGGUUAGCGUAAGCGAAGCUCUGAACUGAAGCCCCAGUAAACGGCGGCCGUAACUAUAACGGUCCUAAGGUAGCGAAAUUCCUUGUCGGGUAAGUUCCGACCCGCACGAAAGGUGUAACGAUUUGGGCACUGUCUCAACCAGAGACUCGGUGAAAUUAUAGUACCUGUGAAGAUGCAGGUUACCCGCGACAGGACGGAAAGACCCCGUGGAGCUUUACUGUAGCCUGAUAUUGAAUUUUGGUACAGUUUGUACAGGAUAGGCGGGAGCCUUUGAAACCGGAGCGCUAGCUUCGGUGGAGGCGCUGGUGGGAUACCGCCCUGACUGUAUUGAAAUUCUAACCUACGGGUCUUAUCGACCCGGGAGACAGUGUCAGGUGGGCAGUUUGACUGGGGCGGUCGCCUCCUAAAGUGUAACGGAGGCGCCCAAAGGUUCCCUCAGAAUGGUUGGAAAUCAUUCGUAGAGUGCAAAGGCAUAAGGGAGCUUGACUGCGAGACCUACAAGUCGAGCAGGGACGAAAGUCGGGCUUAGUGAUCCGGUGGUUCCGCAUGGAAGGGCCAUCGCUCAACGGAUAAAAGCUACCCCGGGGAUAACAGGCUUAUCUCCCCCAAGAGUCCACAUCGACGGGGAGGUUUGGCACCUCGAUGUCGGCUCAUCGCAUCCUGGGGCUGUAGUCGGUCCCAAGGGUUGGGCUGUUCGCCCAUUAAAGCGGUACGCGAGCUGGGUUCAGAACGUCGUGAGACAGUUCGGUCCCUAUCCGUCGUGGGCGUAGGAAAUUUGAGAGGAGCUGUCCUUAGUACGAGAGGACCGGGAUGGACGCACCGCUGGUGUACCAGUUGUUCUGCCAAGGGCAUAGCUGGGUAGCUAUGUGCGGAAGGGAUAAGUGCUGAAAGCAUCUAAGCAUGAAGCCCCCCUCAAGAUGAGAUUUCCCAUAGCGUAAGCUAGUAAGAUCCCUGAAAGAUGAUCAGGUU
rnacentral:rRNA from 1 species